AUUGAACGCUGGCGGCAUGCCUUACACAUGCAAGUCGAACGGCAGCACGGGUGCUUGCACCUGGUGGCGAGUGGCGAACGGGUGAGUAAUACAUCGGAACAUGUCCUGUAGUGGGGGAUAGCCCGGCGAAAGCCGGAUUAAUACCGCAUACGAUCUACGGCUGAAAGCGGGGGCCCUUCGGGCCUCGCGCUAUAGGGUUGGCCGAUGGCGGAUUAGCUAGUUGGUGGGGUAAAGGCCUACCAAGGCGACGAUCAGUAGCUGGUCUGAGAGGACGACCAGCCACACUGGGACUGAGACACGGCCCAGACUCCUACGGGAGGCAGCAGUGGGGAAUUUUGGACAAUGGGCGAAAGCCUGAUCCAGCAAUGCCGCGUGUGUGAAGAAGGCCUUCGGGUUGUAAAGCACUUUUGUCCGGAAAGAAAUCCUUGGCCCUAAUACGGUCGGGGGAUGACGGUACCGGAAGAAUAAGCACCGGCUAACUACGUG
rnacentral:rRNA from 1 species